CGGGAAACCGGAGCUAAUACCGGAUAAUAUUUCGAACCGCAUGGUUCUAUAGUUAAAGAUGGUUUUGCUAUCACUUAUAGAUGGACCCGCGCCGUAUUAGCUAGUUGGUAAGGUAACGGCUUACCAAGGCGACGAUACGUAGCCGACCUGAGAGGGUGAUCGGCCACACUGGAACUGAGACACGGUCCAGACUCCUACGGGAGGCAGCAGUG
rnacentral:rRNA from 1 species